rfam:Nematostella vectensis strain CH2 x CH6 NEMVEscaffold_336_Cont24224, whole genome shotgun sequence.
GCCGUGAUCGUAUAGUGGUUAGUACAUUACGUAGUGGCCGCAAUAACCAAGGUUGGAAUCCUGGUCACGGCA